UUCCUGGUAGUUCAGUGGUAAAGCAUCUGCCUGCCAAGCAGGAGGUGUGGGUUGGAUCCCUGGCUCAGGAA
rnacentral:tRNA from 1 species